ensembl:misc_RNA 7SK 7SK RNA
GGAUGUGAGGGUGAUCUGGCUGUGAUAUCUGUUACCCCAUUGAUCACCAGGGUUGAUUCUGCUGAUCUGGCUGGCUAGGCGGGUGUCCCCUUCCUCCUUCACUGCUCCAUGUGUGUCCUUCUCAAAGCUGCACACUCAGUCUAAGAGGAUGUCCUUCCCCAGUAAAGACAGACUUUCUUUGGUCGAGGGUAUAUGAGUAGCUGUGCUCUCCUGUUAGAACCUCCAAACAAGCUCUCAAAAAUAGGAUAAUUUUUAUCCACAUCCCAGAAAUUAUAUGCUAAUUAGACACUAACAUCUAUUUAAUAAAUAAAUUUCCCAGUGUUUCUGCUUUG